GCCAAUCACGAGGCCAAACAUCCCUGAAAGUUUCCUCCGAAUCCAUCCAGCGGUUCUUGAGAUAUCUUGUCCACGGACAGACAAACAAACAAAUACGACUGAAAACAAUACCUCUAAUUUCGCUAAGGCGGAGGGAAUUACUCUUGUUGAUGCUAAAGUUCGUAUAUUCCU